rnacentral:rRNA from 1 species
UAGGGAAUCUUCCGCAAUGGACGAAAGUCUGACGGAGCAACGCCGCGUGAGCGAAGAAGGCCUUCGGGUCGUAAAGCUCUGUUGUUAGGGAAGAACAAGUACGAGAGUAACUGCUCGUACCUUGACGGUACCUAACCAGAAAGCCACGGCUAACUACGUGCCAGCAGCCGCGGUAAUACGUAGGUGGCAAGCGUUGUCCGGAAUUAUUGGGCGUAAAGCGCGCGCAGGCGGUCCUUUAAGUCUGAUGUGAAAGCCCACGGCUCAACCGUGGAGGGUCAUUGGAAACUGGGGGACUUGAGUGCAGAGAGGAGAGUGGAAUUCCACGUGUAGCGGUGAAAUGCGUAGAGAUGUGGAGGAACACCAGUGGCGAAGGCGACUCUCUGGUCUGUAACUGACGCUGAGGCGCGGAAGCGUGGGGAGCAAACAGGAUUAGAUACCCUGGUAGUCCACGCCGUAAACGAUGAGUGCUAA